UGAUGCCAUUUUGGGCCUGUGGUUUUCUCUUA
rnacentral:miRNA from 1 species